rnacentral:rRNA from 1 species
UGGGGAAUAUUGCACAAUGGGCGCAAGCCUGAUGCAGCCAUGCCGCGUGUAUGAAGAAGGCCUUCGGGUUGUAAAGUACUUUCAGCGGGGAGGAAGGGAGUAAAGUUAAUACCUUUGCUCAUUGACGUUACCCGCAGAAGAAGCACCGGCUAACUCCGUGCCAGCAGCCGCGGUAAUACGGAGGGUGCAAGCGUUAAUCGGAAUUACUGGGCGUAAAGCGCACGCAGGCGGUUUGUUAAGUCAGAUGUGAAAUCCUCGGGCUCAACCUGGGAACUGCAUCUGAUACUGGCAAGCUUGAGUCUCGUAGAGGGGGGUAGAAUUCCAGGUGUAGCGGUGAAAAGCGUAGAGAUCUGGAGGAAUACCGGUGGCGAAGGCGGCCCCCUGGACGAAGACUGACGCUCAGGUGCGAAAGCGUGGGGAGCAAACAGG